rnacentral:lncRNA from 1 species
UCUUACGAUCCAAAAUGGCUACUACUCCAUCUUCCACAACCACCCUUUCACAAUCCACUUCCAGCACCUCAACAGACCUUGUUGAACUCAACACAAACACACAACUCCCUAUCAAACUAAAUGCAAACAAUUAUCCCGCAUGGCACCGCCAAAUUCAUAACCUCCUUGUUGCUCGAAAUCUUGAUGGCUACAUCACUGGUAAAACCCCAUGCCCUCCUCCAAUAAUCAAGAAUGUUGUCGAUGGUAGUGAAAUUGACAAUCCUGCGUUCAAUAUUUGGAAUCGUCAAGACAAAUAUCUCUACAUCGCUUUACUUGGUGCUUGCGAUGAAGAAGCUCGUGCUGUCAUGUCUGCCGCACCAACAGCACGUGAUGCAUGGCUCAUUCUGGAGCGUGCAUUUGCCACGCGUUCUCGUUCACGCGUUAUGUCACUAAAAGAACGUCUGAACUCGGUUAGAAAAGGAGGAUCCGUUACUGUUGCUGCGUAUAUGCAGAACAUUCGUUCCAUCUCAGACGAAUUGUCUUUGAUUGGUCAUCCUGUUGAUGAUAUUGAUCUUGUCAUCCAUGCUCUAAAUGGUUUGGAUCCAUCAUUUAGGGAAUUCACUGCAUCCAUUCGGACUCGUGACAAUCCGAUUUCAUUUGACGAACUUUACGUCAAACUCAUAGAUUAUGAAAUGUAUUUGAAGAGGGAUGAACUCAUGAAUCCUCACACACCUGUCACGGCAAACUAUGCCAAUCAGGGUCGCUUCAAUCACCAUAACAGAGGUCGCUCCAAUCACCACAACAGAGGUCGUAACCAGCCUCGUCAUAAUCAGCAUGGUCAACGCUCAACCGACAUAUGUCAGUUGUGCUCCUUCAAAGGACACAUUGCUAAAAAUUGCAGAAAGUUUACAUGUACCAAAAAGCAGUCGUCUCACCCGGCGGCCUAUGCAGCCCAAGCUACGAUCCCACCACCGGAAUGGCUCUUCGACUCUCGUGCCUCACAUCACAUUACCAAUGAUUUAAACAAUCUCUCUCUAUAUGGUGAUUACAAUGGUAAUGAUCAUCUCCAUGUUGCUAAUGGUAUGACUCUUCCUAUUACACAUGUUGGUUCUACAACACUUAAUUCAUCCAAACUUAACCAUAACCUUGUUCUUAAUAAUGUUCUUUAUGCUCCUGGUGUUACCCAAAACCUUGUAUCUGUCUCUCAAUUAUGCAACACUAAUAAUGUAUCUAUUGAAUUUUUCCCUUCUUUCUUUCAGGUAAAGGAUUUGACCACGGGGGCGUGUCUUCUUCAAGGUCCGAAUGAUUCAAAUGUCUACAAGCUACCAACAUUCAAAUCUCCUCGUGCCUACUCUACAACCUUCACUCCUCAAUCUAUUUGUUGGCAUAAUCGACUUGGUCAUCCAUCAUCCUUAAUUUUCCAUCACAUUAUUAAAUCAAAUAAUAUCUCAGUCAAAGUUCCUUUCAAUAAUUGCAAUCAUUGUAUGGCCAACAAGAGCAAUAAGUUGCCCUUUCAUAAAUCUACUAUUUCUAGUUCUAGUCCGUUAGAAGUUAUUUAUAAAGAUGUUUGGGGACCUUCACCCUUUAUUUCCAUUGAUAAUUUCAAAUAUUAUGUUAUUUUUAUUGAUCACUUUUCCAAAUAUGUGUUGUUGUAUCCUUUAAAAUUCAAGUCCGAUGUAUCAACCAUCUUUCCUAUUUUUAAAAAUCUUGUGGAAAACCAAUUCAAUUGUAAAAUUAAAAGUUUUUACUCUGAUAAUGGCGGAGAAUUUAUCACACUAAAAUCAUAUUUUCAAAACAAUGGAAUUCAACACUUGACCACUCCGCCUCAUACCUCACAACAUAAUGGUCUUUGUGAACGAAAACAUCGUCAUUUACUUGAAACCACAAGGUGCUUACUUCAUCAAGCAUCACUUCCACCUAAUUUUUGGUCAUUUGCAGCCCAAACAGCUGCAUAUCUCAUUAAUCGCCUUCUGACACCGACGUUAAAUAUGCAUUCACCAUUUUUCACUCUAUUUCAAACUCAACCUAAUUACAAUAAACUCCGGUCUUUUGGGUGUCUUUGUUUUCCUUGGCUAAAGUCAUACACUUCACAUAAACUUCAACCACGAUCUGAACCUUGCAUAUUUCUUGGUUAUAGUUUGUCUCAAAGUGCCUACAUCUGCUAUAAUUAUAAGACUAAUAAAUUUUACAAUUCUAGACAUGUUCAAUUUGUUGAAAAUAUCUUUCCAUAUUUUGAGAAUUCACAGGAGCAUAACUCUCUCCCUUACUUAAAUUCAAAUAAUACAAAUGUCAAUCAUUCAAUACCUUUGACCAUAAACCACCCUAUUAAAUCUAUGCCUCCAUUAAUUCCUAAUUUGCCUCACCAAACCUCAUGCUCACCUCAACAAACUAUCACCAGCAACCCAUCAACUUUGCCACUUACCCAACCCACCCCACCAUUAACCCCACCUUCAUAUUUACAUAACCAUGAAACCAUAAUCCCACCAGAUAAUAAUGAGCUCUCAGACCUUAGUACCACAAAAUAUUAACCAUUCCCCCAUAAAUCAAACACCUGCGACCUUCACCUCUCCACCUAGGAAUGCUCCCACGGUUACAAAUCCUCCAAUUAAACCGAAAUCCAAAAUAAUAAUAACUGAACACCCAAUGCAAACAAGAGCUAAACGUGGAAUUUUCAAACCAAAACAAUUAAACCUCACCACAAAAUAUCCGCUACCUACUCCUAUUGAACCAACAUGUGUAUCUCAGGCAGUAAAGUCUACUAAAUGGCAACAAGCGAUGACUAAUGAAUUUAUGGCUCUUAUGCGUAAUGGCACAUGGACACUUGUUCCCCCAUCACCACAUUACAAUGUUAUUGAUAAUAAAUGGGUUUUUCGAUUGAAAAGAAACCCCGAUGGCUCUAUCUCUCGCUACAAAGCUAGACUUGUCACCAAAGGAUUUCAUCAAAGACCAGGUAUUGAUUUCAAAGAUACAUUUAGCCCCGUCAUCAAACCUCAGACAAUUAAUUUGUUCUUUGCAUCGCUCUCUCAAAAGGAUGGUCUCUAACACAAAUGGAUGUGAACAACGCCUUCCUGCACGGAACAAUUAGUGAAGAUGUCUACAUGACUCAACCAGCUGGCUUUAUACACUCAUCAUUUCCAAAUUAUGUAUGCAAACUAAAUAAAGCACUAUAUGGUCUCAAGCAAGCACCACGAGCUUGGUUUAAUGCCUUAAAAACAUUUCUACUACAAUAUGGUUUUGUUAAUGCCAAGAGUGACACGUCCCUAUUCAUUUACAACUCUGGUUCUACGACCGCCUAUUUCUUAGUAUAUGUUGAUGAUCUAUUACUAUGCGGGAACAAUUCUAAUUUUCUAGCUCAAUUCAAACAGACACUUGCAGAUCAAUUUUCUCUUAAAGAUUUGGGUCAACCAAGCCACUUUCUUGGAGUUGAAAUAAUACCAACAAAGACUGGUUUAUUCCUUACACAACAUCAUUAUAUCAGAGAUAUUCUUCUUCGAGCAAACAUGAAUGAUUGUAAACCAGUGUCUACUCCCAUGGCCACUUCCUUCUGCUCACAACCCAAACCCGACUCCUCGUCGUGUGACCGUAAGGAAUUUCGCAGUAUACUUGGUGCCUUACACUACCUCUCAAUCACCCGACCCGACAUAGCAUUUCCAGUAAAUAAACUAGCACAACAGAUGUGUAACGACCCAAUUUUCAUAUUAUUAUUUUUAUGNNNNNNNNNNNNNNNNNNNNNNNNNNNNNNNNNNNNNNNNNNNNNNNNNNNNNNNNNNNNNNNNNNNNNNNNNNNNNNNNNNNNNNNNNNNNNNNNNNNNNNNNNNNNNNNNNNNNNNNNNNNNNNNNNNNNNNNNNNNNNNNNNNNNNNNNNNNNNNNNNNNNNNNNNNNNNNNNNNNNNNNNNNUGGAUUCAAAACUUACUAGAGGAACUUCAAAUUCCAUUUACUACUCCAACAAUAUUCUCAGAUAACAUUGGAGCUACCUAUUUAUGUGCAAAUCCAAUUUUUCACUCUAGAAUGAAACAUAUUGCCAUAGACUAUCAUUUUGUUCGUGACCUGGUCGCUGCCAAGAAGCUUCAAGUCUCACAUGUCCCAACAAGUCAUCAACUAGUUGAUCUACUUACAAAGCCGUUAUCAUCUACUCGACAUCACUUUCUCAAAGACAAGAUUAGCGUUAUUGAGGAUACCUCCAUCUUGAGGGGGCCUAAAGGAGUAUUAACUAACUAAUAAGUCAAUUGCUCAAUUAUUAAAAAUAUCAUUUGCAAUCAUUAGAAUUCAUUAGAAAUAUCAUUGUUAUUAUUUUGUAAUUAUUUACCAUUAUUU